CGUGGGGGAUAACGUAGGGAAACUUACGCUAAUACCGCAUACGACCUACGGGUGAAAGCAGGGGACCUUCGGGCCUUGCGCGAUUGAAUGAGCCGAUGUCGGAUUAGCUAGUUGGCGGGGUAAAGGCCCACCAAGGCGACGAUCCGUAGCUGGUCUGAGAGGAUGAUCAGCCACACUGGAACUGAGACACGGUCCAGACUCCUACGGGAGGCAGCAGUGGGGAAUAUUGGACAAUGGGCGCAAGCCUGAUCCAGCCAUACCGCGUGGGUGAAGAAGGCCUUCGGGUUGUAAAGCCCUUUUGUUGGGAAAGAAAUCCAGCUGGCUAAUACCCGGUUGGGAUGACGGUACCCAAAGAAUAAGCACCGGCUAACUUCGUGCCAGCAGCCGCGGUAAUACGAAGGGUGCAAGCGUUACUCGGAAUUACUGGGCGUAAAGCGUGCGUAGGUGGUCGUUUAAGUCCGUUGUGAAAGCCCUGGGCUCAACCUGGGAACUGCAGUGGAUACUGGGCGACUAGAAUGUGGUAGAGGGUAGCGGAAUUCCUGGUGUAGCAGUGAAAUGCGUA
rnacentral:rRNA from 1 species